GACAGCUCGUUCGGUAGAGCAUGAGACUCUUAAUCUUAGGGUCAUGGUUUCAAGCCCUAUGUUGGGCA